rnacentral:lncRNA from 1 species
GGCGGGCGGGCGGUGCACGCUCUGCCUGCAGACCUCUCUUGCCCUUCCCCGCGGCGGGGCGGCUCUCUGGCCGCGAUCCCUCCCAUGCUCUUUGUGCACCUUAUCACCACCUGGCUCUGACACUGUGGGGUGCCACCAGAGAGCACUGAGCGAGGGAGCUAGACAUCCGGGACCAGGAAGAGGAGCUCUCCUGAAAUCCAGCCUUCUGACCCCAAGAAGCCCUUGGGCCAAGCCCUAAGUUUCCAAUUGAAGUGUCCUUAACUGCUUGUUCCUUAUCAAGAAGACAUCUGCAAAGACUCGGCGUGGACUGGAUGGUCCCCUGGAAUGCUCCAGUUUAUUCACUCACAAAUGGCUAGGAAAUUUAAUGGGGGAGGGGACGUGUUGGGGGUCUCAACAAGUCUUUUGUACCCUAACAGCCUAGGAAGCUAGAAGAGGAAAUCAAUCGACUUAAGAAUCUAGAUCAUAGAAGUUGUUACGGUAAUAAUUUCACUGAUGAACAUCUGAAAUCCAACAUGGAAACCCAUGUUCAAAAACGGUGAAGUGAAGAAUCCAAGGAAGUUGAGGAAGCCUGGCUGAGAAGACUGUGCACAAGUCAACCAUAGGGCGGUAACGACAAGAAGAAUCCUGGGAUAAAAGCUGCUGUUAAUGAACACAGCAGUUCGAUCAUUUAAAAUAUGCAAACUUCACUUUUCCUGUCUGUUACCAUAAACCAGAGCUGACAGAAGGAAGAGCAAAUCUGCCUGGCACCUUUUCUCUGAGGAACUGAUAUGAUCUCACACAGAAAGAGUUCCCUUGGCAUACACAUAGCCAGUGGGUAGCCAUGAUAACUGGGGCCUUCAUGGUUGAAUGUGCCUCAAGUUGGAGUUUGUUUUAGUUUUUGGUCAUUUGCAUGGUGACCUUGAAUUUUCUGCCCAGUCCAGGAACUACUUUCUGAUUGUUACAAAUACACACUUUCUUUCAAGAUGGUCAUUGAAUCACUCUUAAUUUAUGUGAAUUUGUACUUAAUCAACUGUAUUUUCUGUAUUUUGUAGGGGGGUAGGAGGGUUAGUUACUAAUACUUUACUUAAA